AUUGAACGCUGGCGGCAGGCUUAACACAUGCAAGUCGAACGGUAACAGGGGAAAGCUUGCUUUCUUGCUGACGAGUGGCGGACGGGUGAGUAAUGCUUGGGAAUCUGGCUUAUGGAGGGGGAUAACCAUUGGAAACGAUGGCUAAUACCGCGUAAUAUCGGAAGAUUAAAGACUGGGACUUUUAGCCAGUUGCCAUAAGAUGAGCCCAAGUGGGAUUAGGUAGUUGGUGGGGUAAAGGCCUACCAAGCCGUCGAUCUCUAGCUGGUCUGAGAGGAUGACCAGCCACACUGGAACUGAGACACGGUCCAGACUCCUACGGGAGGCAGCAGUGGGGAAUAUUGCGCAAUGGGGGUAACCCUGACGCAGCCAUGCCGCGUGAAUGAAGAAGGCCUUCGGGUUGUAAAGUUCUUUCGGUGAUGAGGAAGGCUUAAAUGUUAAUAGCAUUUAGGAUUGACGUUAGUCACAGAAGAAGCACCGGCUAACUCCGUGCCAGCAGCCGCGGUAAUACGGAGGGUGCGAGCGUUAAUCGGAAUAACUGGGCGUAAAGGGCACGCAGGCGGUGACUUAAGUGAGGUGUGAAAUCCCCGGGCUUAACCUGGGAAUUGCAUUUCAGACUGGGUCGCUAGAGUACUUUAGGGAGGGGUAGAAUUCCACGUGUAGCGGUGAAAUGCGUAGAGAUGUGGAGGAAUACCGAAGGCGAAGGCAGCCCCUUGGGAAUGUACUGACGCUCAUGUGCGAAAGCGUGGGGAGCAAACAGG
rnacentral:rRNA from 1 species